rnacentral:tRNA from 1 species
GCCAGUGUGGCAUAGUGGUUUGAGCACUAGAUUACAACUCUGGAGACCAGGGUUCAAAUCUCUACUCAGCCA